rnacentral:rRNA from 1 species
GACGUAGGAGGCGAGCGUUUGUCCGGAUUCAUUGGGCGUAAAGAGCACGCAGGCGGUUUGGCAAGUCGGAUGUGAAAACCCGGAGCUCAACUCCGGACCUGCAUCCGAAACUGCCCGACUAGAGGUAGGUAGGGGAGAUCGGAAUUCCUGGUGUAGCGGUGAAAUGCGCAGAUAUCAGGAGGAACACCGGUGGCGAAGGCGGACAUAGUCUGGAACCGACUUGACGCUGAGGCGCGAAAGUCG